GGCCCAAACUCCUACGGGAGGCAGCAGUAGGGAAUUUUCGGCANUGGAGGAAACUCUGACCGAGCAACGCCGCGUGAACGAUGAAGUAUUUCGGUACGUAAAGUUCUUUUAUUAGGGAAGAAUAAAUGAUGGAAAAAUCAUUCUGACGGUACCUAAUGAAUAAGCCCCGGCUAACUAUGUGCCAGCAGCCGCGGUAAUACAUAGGGGGCAAGCGUUAUCCGGAAUUAUUGGGCGUAAAGGGUGCGUAGGCGGUUAAAUAAGUUUAUGGUCUAAGUGCAAUGCUCAACAUUGUGAUGCUAUAAAAACUGUUUAGCUAGAGUAAGAUAGAGGCAAGUGGAAUUNCAUGUGUAGUGGUAAAAUGCGUAAAUAUAUGGAGGAACACCAGUAGCGAAGGCGGCUUGCUGGGUCUUUACUGACGCUGAGGCACGAAAGCGUGGGGAGCAAACAGGAUUANAUACCCUGGUAGUCCACGCCGUAAACGAUGANUACUAAACGUUGGGUAAAACCAGUGUUGAAGUUAACACAUUAAGUACUCCGCCUGANUAGUACGUACGCAAGU
rnacentral:rRNA from 1 species